rnacentral:rRNA from 1 species
UCCUACGGGGCGCAGCAGUGGGGAAUAUUGCACAAUGGGGGAAACCCUGAUGCAGCAACGCCGCGUGAAGGAAGACGGUUUUCGGAUUGUAAACUUCUGUUCUUAGUGAAGAAGAAUGACGGUAGCUAAGGAGCAAGCCACGGCUAACUACGUGCCAGCAGCCGCGGUAAUACGUAGGUGGCAAGCGUUGUCCGGAAUUACUGGGUGUAAAGGGAGCGCAGGCGGGAAGCCAAGUCAGCUGUGAAAUCCGCGGGCUUAACCCGCGAACUGCAUUUGAAACUAUUGGUCUUGAGUACCGGAGAGGG